rnacentral:rRNA from 1 species
UGAAUACGAGACGCUACGGCGUCGAAGCAGUCUAUGUCAUACUUCCAAGAAAAGCUUGCACUGUCAUAAACAAAUAAUGCCUGUACCAUAACCGACACAGGUGGGUAGGUAGAGUAUACUAAGGGGCGCGAGAUAACUCUCUCUAAGGAACUCGGCAAAAUGACUCCGUAACUUCGGGAGAAGGAGUGCCUUAUUUAUAAGGUUGCAAUAACAAGAUCCAAGCAACUGUUUAUCAAAAACACAGGUCUCCGCUAAGUCGUAAGACGAUGUAUGGGGGCUGACGCCUGCCCAGUGCCAGAAGGUUAAAGAAGUUGGUUAGCAUUAGCGAAGCUGAUAACUGAAGCCCUGGUGAACGGCGGCCGUAACAAUAGCGGUCCUAAGGUAGCGAAAUUCCUUGUCGGGUAAGUUCCGACCCGCACGAAAGGCGUAAUGAUCUGGAUACUGUCUCAGAGAGGGGCUCGGUGAAAUAGACUUGUCUGUGAAGAUGCGGACUACCUGCACCAGGACAGAAAGACCCUAUGAAGCUUUACUGUAACUUGAAAUUGAAAUUGGACUUUAUUUGCGCAGUAUAGGUGGGAGGCAUUGAUAAUAUUCUUGCGGGAAUGUUGGAGCCAUCAGUGAGAUACCACUCUUGUAAUGUUAGAUUUCUAACUUUGGAUCAUUAUCUGGUCAAAGGACAGUUUCAGGCGGGCAGUUUGACUGGGGCGGUCGCCUCCUAAAUGGUAACGGAGGCGCACAAAGGUUUCCUCUGAACGGGUAGAAAUCGUAUCUAGAGUGUAAAGGCAUAAGGAAGCUUGACUGUGAGACCUACAAGUCGAGCAGGGACGAAAGUCGGUCUUAGUGAUCUGACGGUGCUGAGUGGAAAGGCCGUCACUCAACGGAUAAAAGUUACUCUAGGAUAACAGGCUGAUCUCCCCCAAGAGUUCACAUCGACGGGGAGGUUUGGCACCUCGAUGUCGGCUCAUCGCAUCCUGGGGCGGUAGUACGUCCCAAGGGUUGGGCUGUUCGCCCAUGAAAGCGGUACGCGAGCUGGGUUCAGAACGUCGUGAGACAGUUCGGUCCAUAUCCGGUGUAGGCGUUAGAAUAUUGAGAGGAGCCUUCUUUAGUACGAGAGGACCGAGAAGGACAUACCUCUGGUGUACCAGUUAUCGUGCCAACGGUAAACGCUGGGUAGCUAUGUAUGGAGAGGAUAACCGCUGAAAGCAUCUAAGUGGGAAGCCCACCUCAAGAUAAGUAUUCACU